rnacentral:rRNA from 1 species
UUUACCGUGAAAAAAUUAGAGUGUUCAAAGCGGGCAGAUAUUUUUCCUGCCACCGAAUACAUUAGCAUGGGAUAAUGGAAUAGGACCCUGACCUCCUAUUUUCAGUUGGUUUUGUUUACAGCGAGGUUAUAUCAGGGUAAUGAUUAAUAGGGAUAGUUGGGGGCAUUAAUAUUUAAUUGUCAGAGGUGAAAUUCUUGGAUUUAUGAAAGAUUAACUUCUGCGAAAGCGUUUGCCAAGGAUGUUUUCAUUAAUCAAGAACGAAAGUUAGGGGAUCGAAGACGAUCAGAUACCGUCGUAGUCUUAACCAUAAACGAUGCCGACCAGCGAUUAGGAGACGUUGAAUACAUAACACCGCCGU